GUCAGUACAGGACAACUGCUGGUCCAAGACAUUUCUCCCACAGCACCAGUGCAGUGGAGCUUGCAGCUCCUGAUUUUUAAUCUGAGGAGAGUGCCAAUCAGGCCAGGAGUUACAAUAAUAAUGAUAGGAAAUGAGCUGUAGUAUUUUCUGCAGGAACGACACAGAGCAUGACCAUAACCAAACUUCAUCCUGAAAGCAGCUGAUCCAAUCAACAGUUCAUACAAUAUUAAGUAUUUAAAACCAGCAGGAUUCAUGUUUCCUGCAAACAUACUGCUUUGUCAUUCCUGUAGAGCAUUUCCUGACACAGUUUCCUUAUUUAAAGCCUUUCUAAUAUAACAUACACAGUACAUCAGCUGAUACUUGUCACAGCUAUGCAACAGAGCUGCUUCAGACUCCUGCCCUGUUCAAAGACAGCUUGUGUUUGCCCCAAGUGCUGCAGGUGCUCCUGCAUUAGCA